rnacentral:rRNA from 1 species
CCUACGGGUGGCAGCAGUGAGGAAUAUUGGUCAAUGGACGAGAGUCUGAACCAGCCAAGUAGCGUGAAGGAUGACUGCCCUAUGGGUUGUAAACUUCUUUUAUAUGGGAAUAAAAUGUUCCACGUGUGGGAUUUUGUAUGUACCAUAUGAAUAAGGAUCGGCUAACUCCGUUCCAGCCGCCGCGGUAAUACGGAGGAUCCGAGGGUUAUCCGGAUUUGUUGGGUUUAAAGGGAGCGUAGGUGGAUUGUUAAGUCAGUUGUGAAAGUUUGCGGCUCAACCGUAAAAUUGCAGUUGAAACUGGCAGUCUUGAGUACAGUAGAGGUGGGCAGAAUUCGUGGUGUAGCGGUGAAAUGCUUAGAUAUCACGAAGAACUCCGAUUGCGAAGGCAGCUCACUGGACUGCAACUGACACUGAGGCUCGAAAGUGUGGGUAUCAAACAGGAUUAGAUACCCCAGUAGUC